rnacentral:rRNA from 1 species
CUGCAGCUCAAGUGGUGACCACUAUUAUUGGGCCUAAAACGUUCGUAGCCGGUUUGGUAAAUGCCUGGGUAAAUCGUGUAGCUUAACUAUACGAAUUCCGGGUAGACUGCCAAACUUGAGACCGGGAGAAGCUAGAGGUACUCCUGGGGUAGAGGUGAAAUUCUGUAAUCCUGGGGGGACCACCAGUGGCGAAGGCGUCUAGCUAGAACGGGUCUGACGGUGAGGAACGAAGCCCUGGGGCGCAAACCGGAUUAGAGACCCGAGUAGUCC